AAACGACUCUCGGCAACGGAUAUCUCGGCUCUCGCAUCGAUGAAGAACGUAGCGAAAUGCGAUACUUGGUGUGAAUUGCAGAACCCCGUGAAUCAUCGAGUCUUUGAACGCAAGUUGCGCCCGAAGCCUUUUGGCCGAGGGCACGUCUGCCUGGGUGUCACGC
rnacentral:rRNA from 1 species